rnacentral:lncRNA from 1 species
GUCCAAGCUUCCUGGCUGGCUUGGGAUCAGGGUGGAAACUUUCCACCCCGGGAGGAGGAUUCUCUGGAAAGUUCUGAGGCCGCCUGAGUGAGCAGAGGUUCACAGUGGGGCCCUGGCCCUUUAAAUCAUCUCUUCAGGGCUGUGGCUGAGGGGUCCCAGAGGCCAGACACCAACCUCUGCCUCCCAGAGCCCAGGCCCCAGAUCUAGGGUUGCCUCAUCCUCCCACUUACACACCGGCAUCUCCAGAACCAAGUGAUUCAAUGGGCCUAGCCCCCAGCCCAGCCAACUGACAAUGGGCGCACUGGGGAGGUCACCGAGCCCAACCGCCAGGGCUCCAAAGGGGAAAGUAAGGCCAAAGGAGAUUCUGAUUCGACUGGACACUGGGAUCUUGGGAAAAGAACAUGGGGCAGAGUUUGGGAGCCUGGAUCCAGAGCCAGCACUUAGAGGGUUAAAAGUCCUGAGCAAAGAUCCCUGGAGGCUAUGGGAGAUUCCAACCAUGAGAAACACCUGCUGAUGGCAGGACAUGCUCUCAUCUCUGCAGCCCUUCCUUCUGACCCCACUGUUCAGCUGAGGAAACUGAGGCUCACAGGGGUGAAAGAACUUGCUGGAAGACCCACAGCUUGUUAACUCAGUUCCAAGAGCACAGGAUCAUAGGACUGUGAGCUGGAAGGGGCUUUGGAGAUGAUUACCCAUCUCCAUUUUAUAGUGUGAAAACUGAGGCCCAUAGAAGGUACUGACUUGCCUGGAGUCACGCUGGUAGUCAGUGGCAGGCAGGCCGGUGCUUUGUUUUCAAACCCAACACUCUUUCUGCUAUGGUGUGCAGCUGCUCCCAGGAUGUCAGCAACAGGGGGGUGGGUGGGAGGUCUCUGGUGCCCUGGCACAGCCUGAUGGAGAGGGUAACAUUUCUCAAAGGGUUGGCAGCAAAGGAGUUAACAUGAUUCCAUUUGGAGAACCACAUGAGUCUUGUGACGGCAUGAUGCUGUGGCCAAUACCUGUCCUAAUUCUGGCGCCCAUCCUUCUACCCAGCUCGAG